AUGGCACCGCCGGCGACGUCCAUGGCCGAUAUACCGGAUGUGAUGCUCGAGGAAAUCUUCCUCCGCCUCACCGCUGCCGAAGACCUCGCCCGCGCCUCCACCACCUGCCCCUCCUUCCGCCGUGUCAUCGCCGACCACGCCUUCCUGCGCCGGUACCGCGCUCUCCACCCGCCGCCUCUCAUCGGCCUGCUCCAAGACACCUUCAGCCCAGCCCAGCCACCGCACCCCUCGGCCGUCGCCGCUCGCGCCUUCCUUGGCUUCGACUUCUCCUGCUCAUCCCUCCUCCCAUCCACCCCCGGCCAUACCUGGCGUCCAGUUGAUUUCUUUGACGGACGCGCCCUCCUCGCCGGCCCCGCGGACAAAGAAGACCGCCAAUUUUGGGUCAGGGACCUCGCUGUGUGCGACCCCAUUCACCACCGCUAUGUCCUGCUGCCCGCCGUUCCAGACGACCUGAAAGCGCUGGCACCUCAGCUGGACCUCCUCAAUCUGGAGGCCUUCCUUGCUCCUGGCCAGAAUGAGGACCCUUUAUCAUUCAGGGUGAUGUGCGUGGCGCAAUGCACAACCAAACUGCUCAUUCUUGUCUUCUACUCCUCUUUGGGUGGACAAGGACAGUGGCAUGCUCAUACAUUUGAUCAAUGGAGUGGUCAGGCUACAUCUGCUUCCGAUGGUUCAUUUAUCCACUCUCAUGGUGGGUUGUCCAAUCGUCAAUUCGUCCACGGAUGCUUCUAUUGGCAUUUGCAUUUUCGGAACGAGUUGCUUGUGCUGGACGUGCGUGCAAUGGAGUUGUCCGCCAUCGACCUCCCACCUGAACGAGGGACUAACAGUUUUGUCCUUGUUGAGCCAGCAGAAGGGAUGCUCGGAAUGCUCACUGAAGGCUAUGGCGAGGACAACGAUAGUGACCCAUUUUGGCUCACGUAUUCCAUUCUGAGAAAUAACCAAUGGCACUUUAACAAGGUCAUCCAAUUGCCAGUAAACGAUGCUGCUCUUGUUGGUGUAGCCGGGGGAUACCUGCUCCUAGAAGCGUUGUACACCACAACUGCACAAGAGGCGCUGAAAUUUGGAUGCUUUUCCGUGGACGUCAAGACAUUGCAGGUCGAGUUUUUCGCUGAGCUUAUAUGCUCGACUAUAUGCUGGUUUCCCACCAUCAUUGUGUGCACCAACUAUUUGAAGCGGGCGAGGAGCAGACACUCACUGAAGAUCCUCAUGUGGGCGAUGGAUCAGGCCAAUUCGUCGGUGAGGGUGACGACGCAGAGGUGGGCGGCGUUCAUCUCGUUCGACACCACUCCAUUGGCUCUGGCUAUGCGGGCAUGGACACUCCGAUUCCACGAGACGGUGCUAGCCCUUCUAGCGCCGGCGUCGGCUCUGGCCCCGAUUUGUGAUCCAGGACGGGCUGGUGGUGACUCGCAUGCCAGCGAUGGUGCCCCAGACCGCUCCACCUCGGCGUUCCACCCAACUGGCACCACCCCCAGCAACUCCGACCCCCCGCCACUCGGCGCAACUCAUGGGAAAUGA
rnacentral:rRNA from 1 species